rnacentral:rRNA from 1 species
AUUGAACGCUGGCGGCAUGCUUUACACAUGCAAGUCGAACGGCAGCGCGGGCUUCGGCCUGGCGGCGAGUGGCGAACGGGUGAGUAAUGCAUCGGAACGUGCCCAGUAGUGGGGGAUAGCCCGGCGAAAGCCGGACUAAUACCGCAUACGACCUGAGGGUGAAAGCGGGGGACCGAAAGGCCUCGCGCUAUUGGAGCGGCCGAUGUCGGAUUAGCUAGUUGGUGGGGUAAAGGCUUACCAAGGCGACGAUCCGUAGCUGGUCUGAGAGGACGACCAGCCACACUGGGACUGAGACACGGCCCAGACUCCUACGGGAGGCAGCAGUGGGGAAUUUUGGACAAUGGGGGUAACCCUGAUCCAGCCAUGCCGCGUGCGGGAAGAAGGCCUUCGGGUUGUAAACCGCUUUUGUUCGGGAAGAAAUCCUCUGGGCUAAUACCCCGGGGGGAUGACGGUACCGGAAGAAUAAGCACCGGCUAACUACGUG